rnacentral:rRNA from 1 species
AUUGAACGCUGGCGGCAUGCCUUACACAUGCAAGUCGAACGGCAGCGCGGGGCAACCUGGCGGCGAGUGGCGAACGGGUGAGUAAUAUAUCGGAACAUACCCUAGAGUGGGGGAUAACGUAGCGAAAGUUACGCUAAUACCGCAUACGCACUAAGGUGGAAAGUGGGGGAUCUUCGGACCUCAUGCUCAUGGAGUGGCCGAUAUCUGAUUAGCUAGUUGGUGAGGUAAAGGCUCACCAAGGCGACGAUCAGUAGCUGGUUUGAGAGAACGACCAGCCACACUGGAACUGAGACACGGUCCAGACUCCUACGGGAGGCAGCAGUGGGGAAGUUUUGGACAAUGGGGGGCAACCCUGAUCCAGCAAUGCCGCGUGAGUGAUGAAGGCCUUCGGGUUGUAAAGCUCUUUCGUCACGCGACGAUGAUGACGGUAGCGUGAGAAGAAG